UGUUGUCAUUACUUACUCAUGCAUGUAUGAUCAUUAAUUAUUAAUUGAAGGUCUAGAAGCAGUUUACUUUAUGUUGGUAGAUAUGUGUGAUAUCAAACUGACGUAUUGUGAGUUACAAUGUAUUGAUAAUACAUUUUAUCAAAGGGCAUCUGCAGAUAAAAUAAUUUAACAACAUUAACAUAUCAAUUCGUGAUCAAAGGGAGAUUACUCAUGUUAAGUAUUGCAAUAGCGCGUCAUGUAAAUUAUUGCUUGGUGCAUCACGUAUUGCAUAUAGCAGUAUAAGGCAGGUGAGGAAGAACGGCAUUCUGUUCAGUUGAAACUUGUACCUGGUGCGCAGUAGUUUUAAGUUAGGUGAGGAGGAAUAUGGACGCUACACAUACGAUUCGUUUCGGACGUUGACGCUGAUGGCUCCGAAGAGAACUCGUUUGCAUAAAAUGGUGAAGACCAGGAAACCGCGAAGGAAACGACAGUUGUCAUCAGCAGUGGCGGGAAACUGCUCCACAGCCCGGUCAUGACACGACCAUUUCGGCUGGAAGUUCAGGAGAAAGGAGUAGAGUCAAGCGUGACAGGCUGGAUUCCCGCAGAUGUUCCAGGAAUUGACACCAGACGCCGAAAACGGCCCGUCUCUGAUUCCACACCACUCGAGGAUAUGGAAGAUGAAGCUCAUAGGUUACUAGAUUCUUUGUCUUUCAACACCAGGAAAGCUUACACCAAGGCAUUAAAAGCACUUGGGGCAUUUCAAGAGGAAUUUCAGCUGAAUCCCUACUGGCCAGUCAACAGCAAUUGUUUCAGCACAUAGGGUGUAUGGCUUUAAAGGGAAGAGCUCUUCAUCGGUCGCCCAGCAUCUUAUGUCUGUCAGCAACGCUACAGAUAACUUCAUCUCGGAGAAUGUUAUGGCUGGCAUGAUAAAUAGUAAUCAUAAUAUAGACACCAGAGCCCCUAUUACACUAGCUAUUAUCAGCAAGCAAGUGUCGGUACUACCAUUAAUUUUCACUUCAACCUACUUUGUUUAAAAGCUUAUUUACGUUGGCAUAUUUUUGCAUUUAUGUGCAUUAGUGAACAGGUUGGUGGGCAUAACCGGGGCAUGGGACUUCUGGCGCAGGACAUAAUGCUGCAUGGGAAGCAGCUUACAGUAAGUGUCAGGCAUUCCAACAUGGAUCAGAACGGCCUAUACUGUACGUUGAUCAUCAACUCGCAACAGGACGGGCGGGUGGGUCCCAUCAAGGCCAGGUUGGAGUAUUUAACCGACAGAAGCAAAGAAACCAACAUAUCUAAAUCAUUCUUUCAUGCAGAUGGUUCAUGUGUCAAACAGAAAGCCAGUUUACAGCACUCCUGAAGAAGCUUCAUUGAUCUAAGCUCUGAUGCGUACACGUCACAUUCCUUACGGAUUGGGGCGGCAACUUGAUGUGCAUCACCUCUGAUACAACUAAAUCUUUGGCAGAAGAUGAAAGUCCUAGAACCGCCAACAAUAUUUGUUAAUACAUUAAGGCUCAAAUGACUUGGUUAUGUUGUCAAGAACAAGUCAGACAUCUUCGUCACAGACCUAAAGUAACUGAAUAAGCUAUUGCCUCAUACUAUCAUCGUGCGGCCUGAGGGGCUGGAAAGGGGCUGAUUCUGGGGGAGCGAUGGACAGGAAGCGGAAAGGAAUUAUUCAGUGUGUAUCUGUUGAAGUGUAUCUUCUUUGGGGUAAUGUUGUGAAACAUGAAAUUGUGGCACGUGACUGUGCUUUAUUGUGAAGAUGAGAUACAUUUUUCUGAGGUGGACAUAACCAUUUGCAUGGUACAUUUGUUAAAGUGAAGGUCCCUCAUUUUUUAACCAUUAGUUAAAAUGCUUUGUCAGCAUAUUUGGGGUUGUUGUUUUUUGUUUUUUUGUCACUCCAGCAUAUUUCUGUGGUUUGUGUUUUCUUCUUCUUUCAGGGCUGCCGGGAUCAGCGUCACUAUGUCACACUUAGUCUAUGAGUAAUAACUGAAACAAGACAAAGAUUGCAUAGAAAUCCUAAUGUUUCAUCAUGAGUAAGAUGACAGAAGUCUUAUCGUGUCUACUCAUGUUUGGCCGAGUGGUCGAUGAUGGUGCCCCUCUCUGUUAUUCCUCUCAUGUGUAACGGGUACUGCUAACCACCCACAUGGUGGAAUGUGGGCUUUACUUUAGGGAGUUGACCAUUAGGUGCAUUUCAUUUGGGUACUUUCAUUUGCCUUAUAUUGUAUUUAUAACCAGCAAUAAAGUGUGCCCAGAUGUCUUCCAACAA